UACAGAGGUCCCGAGCGUUUGUUCGGAUUCAUUGGGCGUAAAGGGUGCGUAGGCGGUCUUCUAAGUUUGAUGUGAAAUCCCGGGGCUCAACCCUGGAAUUGCAUUGAAUACUGGAGGACUAGAGUACCGGAGAGGAAACUGGAAUUUACGGUGUAGCAGUGAAAUGCGUAGAGAUCGUAAGGAAGACCAGUGGCGAAGGCGAGUUUCUGGACGGUAACUGACGCUGAGGCACGAAGGCCAGGGGGAGCAAACGGGG
rnacentral:rRNA from 1 species